rnacentral:rRNA from 1 species
GACGAACGCUGGCGGCGUGCCUAAUUACAUGCAAGUCGAGCGAGCUUGCCUAGAUGAUUUUAGUGCUUGCACUAAAUAGAAACUAGAUACAAGCGAGCGGCGGACGGGUGAGUAACACGUGGGUAACCGUUGCCCAACGAGACUGGGAGUAACACCCUGGAAACAAGAUGCUAAUACCGGAUAACAACACUAGACGCAUGUCUAGAGUUUGUAAAAUAGGUUCUGCUAUCACUCUUGGAUGGACCUGCGGUGCAUUAGCUAGUUGGUAAGGUAACGGCUUACCAAGGCAAUGAUGCAUAGCCGAGUUGAGAGACUGAUCGGCCACAUUGGGACUGAGACACGGCCCAAACUCCUACGGG